UGAAACCGAAACCGCCGUGUGGUGAAAGUA
rnacentral:piRNA from 1 species